GCCGGGGUGGCUCAGUGGUUGAGCAUCUACCUAUGAAGCAGAAGGUCAUGGGUUCGAUUCCCGGUCAGGGCA
rfam:Myotis davidii contig199339, whole genome shotgun sequence.